AUUGAACGCUGGCGGCAGGCCUAACACAUGCAAGUCGAACGAGUGGCGGACGGGUGAGUAAUGUCUGGGAAACUGCCCGAUGGCGGGGGAUAACUACUGGAAACGGUAGCUAAUACCGCAUACCAUCGGAUGUGCCCAGAUGGGAUUAGCUAGUGGGUGGGGUAACGGCUCACCUAGGCGACGAUCCCUAGCUGGUCUGAGAGGAUGACCAGCCAAACUGGAACGGAGCCACGGCCCGAACUCCGACGGAAGGAAGAAGUGGGGAGUAUUGGACAAUGGGGGAAAGCCGAAGAAAGCACGGCCGCGUGUAUGAAGAAGGCCUUGGGUUUGUAAAGUACUUUCAGCGAGGAGGCGUUACUCGCAGAAGAAGCACCGGCUAACUCCGUGCCAGCAGCCGCGGUAAUAC
rnacentral:rRNA from 1 species